rnacentral:rRNA from 1 species
UACGUAGGUGGCAAGCGUUGUCCGGAUUUAUUGGGUUUAAAGGGUGCGUAGGCGGCUUUGUAAGUCAGUGGUGAAAUAUGACAGCUUAACUGUCAGGGUGCCAUUGAUACUGCGGAGCUUGAGUACAGAUGAGGUAGGCGGAAUUGACGGUGUAGCGGUGAAAUGCUUAGAUAUCGUCAAGAACACCUAUAGCGAAGGCAGCUUACUAGGCUGUAACUGACGCUGAGGCACGAAAGUGUGGGGAUCAAACAGG